AGCAGUAGCCGCGGGAAUACGAAGGGGGCUAGCGUUGUUCGGAUUUACUGGGCGUAAAGCGCACGUAGGCGGAUUCUUAAGUCAGAGGUGAAAUCCCAAGGCUCAACCUUGGAACUGCCUUUGAUACUGGGGAUCUUGAGUCCGGGAGAGGUGAGUGGAACUGCGAGUGUAGAGGUGAAAUUCGUAGAUAUUCGCAAGAACACCAGUGGCGAAGGCGGCUCACUGGCCCGGAACUGACGCUGAGGUGCGAAAGCGUGGGGAGCAAACAGGAUUAGAUACCCGGGUAGUCCCUGUCUCUUAUAA
rnacentral:rRNA from 1 species